UACGUAGGGUGCAAGCGUUGUCCGGAAUUAUUGGGCGUAAAGAGCUCGUAGGCGGUCUGUCGCGUCUGCUGUGAAAAUCCAGGGCUCAACCCUGGACCUGCAGUGGGUACGGGCAGACUAGAGUGCGGUAGGGGAGAUCGGAAUUCCUGGUGUAGCGGUGAAAUGCGCAGAUAUCAGGAGGAACACCGGUGGCGAAGGCGGAUCUCUGGGCCGUAACUGACGCUGGAGGAGCGAAAGCAUGGGGAGCGAACAGG
rnacentral:rRNA from 1 species